rnacentral:lncRNA from 1 species
GAACCUGCACGCAUUAACCUCUCUCUGCCACGUAACAACGAAGCCGUGGAAAUAAGCUUGCAGCUGAAGCUACACCAUUUAUCAUUUCAAUUUCAUGGCAGCUUCUUUACGCUCACAUAAACCUAUAAAUACCCACUAAACCAUUCAUAGUUUCCUGUCACAACUUCAAUACUCUAAUUUUCAGCAUCAAAUCUCAGUCAUCAUCAAGUCACAACAACAUGAGUUCUAAAAACAUCAUUCAAAGUACUCUUUGCCACACUACAAGACCUGCUCCUCGUACCAAUAACACCAAUUCUUCGUCCUCAAGAACUUCAUCCACAGCAACUAUUCAGAAGGUCUUUUCAAGGAAGUAUGAGAAGAAGAAUUGAGAGCAAUUUCCCCUUCAUUAUGUUCUUCUUCUUCUAAACAUUUCAUAUUAUUUCAUUACUUUACGUAUUCAUUUACAUUCCGUCUCAUCCAUUGUAUUUUAAACAGAUUAUUUUCAUUAAUUCAAUAGUUCAUAUUCAGUUUGGUACAUUAAUAGCAUCAUAUGUUCUUUUCCUACAUUUAUUUAAAUAUCUUUCAUUUCUCUUCUUCCUCCACCGUUGCACCGGUCAGCCACCACCCUCUUCUGUUACACCACACUACCUCGCCACACUCUUCCUCUUUUCCUCCUCCUCCAUUCCACCACCUCACGUCACUCCUUCUCUUUCCCACACCUUCUUCUCAAGUUCGAUCUAAAAAACUCAACUUGCUAUAAUUCAAACAUUUCACACGCAGCCCAUGACAUGAUU